rnacentral:rRNA from 1 species
GAUGAACGCUGGCGGCGUGCCUAACACAUGCAAGUCGAACGGUCCCCUUCGGGGGACAGUGGCGCACGGGUGCGGAACACGUAGCCAACCUGCCCUGGAGUGGGGGAUAACCCGCGGAAACGCGGGCUAAGACCGCAUACGCUCAGGAGCUGUAGAGGCUGCUGAGGAAAGUCGAGAGAUGCUCUGGGAGGGGGCUGCGGCCCAUCAGGUGGUUGGUGAGGUAACGGCUCACCAAGCCGACGACGGGUCGGGGGUCUGAGAGGAUGACCCCCCACACUGGGACUGAGACACGGCCCAGACUCCUACGGGAGGCAGCAGUGAGGAAUCUUGCACAAUGGGGGCAACCCUGAUGCAGCGACGCCGCGUGGGCGAUGAAGGUCUUCGGAUCGUAAAGCCCUUUUCUGCGUGACGAGGAAGGACGGUAGCGCAGGAAGAAGCGUCGGCUAACUACGUGCCAGCAGCCGCAGUAACAC